GACGAACGCUGGCGGCGUGCCUAAUACAUGCAAGUCGAGCGAAGAGGCGGAUGGGUGAGUAACGCGUGGGUAACCUGCCCUUAAGUAUGGGAUACCAUUUGAAAAAAGAUGCUAAUACGGGAUACUAAAGGAUGGAGCUGCGAUGAAUUAGCUAGUUGGUAAGGUAACGGCUUACCAAGGCGACGAUGCAUAUCCGGUUUGAGAGACCGAUCGGCCACAUUUGGACUGAGACACGGCCCAAACUCCUACGGGAGGCAGCAGUAGGGAAGCUUCCACAAUUGACGAAAGUCUGAUGGAGCAACGCCGCGUGAGUGAAGAAGGUUUUCGGAUCGUAAAGCUCUGUUGUUGGUGAAGCGGUAAUCAACCAGAAAGUCACGGCUAACUACGUGCCAGCAGCCGCGGUAAUUC
rnacentral:rRNA from 1 species